ensembl:lncRNA
AUGCUACGUCUGCUGCUCAGAGUCUCCACCACAGGCUCUAUCCUGUCCCUUCUCUGUGUCACGGCACCAGACACAGGGUGCACUUGUCCACACCCUGGCCCUGCUGGGAAGAGGUCACUGGACUCCCCCCCGCAGCACCAUGGCUUCUACAGCGUCGUUCACGUUAGCAGGGUCAUCGGCCUCCACUCCCUGGCGACCGCAGCCCAGGCUCCUGCUGCUGCUUCAGAGCUGCGCGAGCUACCUGGAGAACCUGACCUUGGAGCAGAUAGUGCCCCCGGCCCGGGCUGCAGGGCCCUGCAUGUCUGUGGGACUCACAGUACGACGCUUCUGGAACAGUCUGCUGAGGCUGGGCAUGCUCAGCCAGCAGGCAGCCCUCCAGGUGCGUCCACCACUCCCCUUCCCCAACUGCGGUCACCCUCACGCCAGCCCAUCAGCCCCAGCUGCCUUGUCCACCAGGUGAGCAGUGUGCCCGCUGCUGGCUCCACUCUGGAAGGUAGCAAUGCAGGCCUUGAGGGUCACAUUUGGGCCGCCCAGCUCUGUAGUUUACACUGUGGGACUUUGGAAAACUCCUACCCACUCUGAACUUAAGUUUGUUCAUCUGUGCAGUGGGAGUGAUGACAGUCCUUACCUCCCAGGGCAUGUUUGAGUAAUGGGGAUUAUGAAAGUGCUAGUCACUCAGUCAUUUCUGGCUCUCUGUGACCCCAUAGAGUGUAGCCCGCCAGGCUCCUCUCUCCAUGGGAAUUCUGUAGGCAAGAAUACUGGAGUGGGUAGCCAUUCCCUUCUCCAGGGGAAUUUUCCAGACCCAGGGAUGGAACCUGGGUCUCCCACAUUGCAGGCAGAUUCUUUACCAUCCGAGUCCCCAGGGAAGCCCCGAUGGGGUUUACAAUGAGCCCCGUUUGUCUUGGGUCACCCCAUAACCCUCACAACCACCUGUGGGCAGGACCACUGUCACCAUAACGGGAAGGAGACCAAAACCGAGAGUGGCUUCAGUGACACGCAAGCACAUGGGUCCACCCAGCAAGGGCCCCGCGCCCGGCAGCUGUGUCUGUCACCGUGUCACUCCCAGUGCCAGGCAGGUACCCGCAUCGACCUGGGCUUAGUAACGGAGGCAGCAGAGAGGAGAAGGCGCGCUCCCAUUCACGCUGCUGCCAGAUACCGUCUGAGGGGCUGAGCAUUGGGCGAGGCUGCUGUCACAGAAAUCCCCGGGGGUCACCACCCAGGCCUGUCUCCCUUACCUGCCUUCCCUUUCUUUCCCUGACCACAGAAAAGGGCAAACCAAGGAGAAACCCUCACCUCCAAGCCCACAGCCAAGGGCGAGCCAGCCGGGAGCCCGGAACUGGGGACCGCCCAGCUCGUCAAGCCACCCUCCCCAGUGCCAGGCCUGCCCCAGGCCUGCCCAGAGCGGGACAGCCUCCCCAUCAGCGUCUCGCUGCGGUGUCCAGGCCGGACGGCCGAGAACACCAAGAGUGUCCACUCCCAGACCAUAGAGACGGCCCUGGUGCCCUGUGACGCGUGCACCAGCGUCCAGAGCAGCCUGCGGGAGGUGGGCAAGGUGGUCGUCAACCUGUGUCAGAGCCAGAACCUGCCCUCGUCGCUGGGCCGCUUCC